AGUGAGGAAUAUUGGUCAAUGGGCGCAAGCCUGAACCAGCCAUCCCGCGUGCAGGAAGACGGCCCUAUGGGUUGUAAACUGCUUUUCCAGGGGGAGAAACUUCCGUACGUGUACGGAAUUGACGGUACCCUGGGAAUAAGCAUCGGCUAACUCCGUGCCAGCAGCCGCGGUAAUACGGAGGAUGCAAGCGUUAUCCGGAUUCAUUGGGUUUAAAGGGUGCGUAGGCGGACUAUUAAGUCAGUGGUGAAAUCCUGCAGCUUAACUGCAGAACUGCCAUUGAUACUGAUAGUCUUGAGUUUGGUUAAGGUAGGCGGAAUGUGUAAUGUAGCGGUGAAAUGCUUAGAUAUUACACAGAACACCAAUUGCGUAGGCAGCUUACUGAGCCGACACUGACGCUGAGGCACGAAAGCGUGGGGAUCGAACAGGAUUAGAUACCCUGGUAGUCCACGCCGUAAACGAUGAUUACUCGCUGUUGGCGAUACACUGUCAGCGGCUAAGC
rnacentral:rRNA from 1 species